UUUUAAUGAGAGUUUGAUCCUGGCUCAGGACGAACGCUGGCGGCGUGCCUAAUACAUGCAAGUAGAACGCUGAGGUUUGGUGUUUACACUAGACUGAUGAGUUGCGAACGGGUGAGUAACGCGUAGGUAACCUGCCUCAUAGCGGGGGAUAACUAUUGGAAACGAUAGCUAAUACCGCAUAAGAGUAAUUAACACAUGUUAGUUAUUU
rnacentral:rRNA from 1 species